GUGGGGAAUAUUGGACAAUGGGCGAAAGCCUGAUCCAGCCAUGCCGCGUGUGUGAAGAAGGUCUUCGGAUUGUAAAGCACUUUAAGUUGGGAGGAAGGGCAGUAACCUAAUACGUUAUUGUUUUGACGUUACCGACAGAAUAAGCACCGGCUAACUUCGUGCCAGCAGCCGCGGUAAUACGAAGGGUGCAAGCGUUAAUCGGAAUUACUGGGCGUAAAGCGCGCGUAGGUGGUUCAGUAAGUUGGAAGUGAAAUCCCCGGGCUCAACCUGGGAACUGCUUUCAAAACUGCUGAGCUAGAGUACGGUAGAGGGUGGUGGAAUUUCCUGUGUAGCGGUGAAAUGCGUAGAUAUAGGAAGGAACACCAGUGGCGAAGGCGACCACCUGGACUGAUACUGACACUGAGGUGCGAAAGCGUGGGGAGCAAACAGGAUUAGAAACCCUGGUAGUCC
rnacentral:rRNA from 1 species